GGGCAGGUGGCGGAAUUGGUAUACGUGCAGCGCUUAGAACGCUGUGCCCGUAAGGGAUUGAGGGUUCGAGCCCCUCCCUGCCCA
rnacentral:tRNA from 1 species